AACGAACGCUGGCGGCAGGCUUAACACAUGCAAGUCGAGCGCACCUUCGGGUGAGCGGCGGACGGGUGAGUAACGCGUGGGAACGUACCUUUCUCUACGGAAUAGCCUCGGGAAACUGAGAGUAACACCGUAUACGCCCUCGGGAAGGAUUAUCGAGAGAGAUCGGCCCGCGUCUGAUUAGGUAGUUGGUGGGUAAGUGGCCCACCAAGCCGACGAUCAGUAGCUGGUUUGAGAGGAUGAUCAGCCACACUGGGACUGAGACACGGCCCAGACUCCUACGGGAGGCAGCAGUGGGGAAUCUUGGACAAU
rnacentral:rRNA from 1 species